rfam:Marinobacter sp. T13-3 scaffold_474, whole genome shotgun sequence.
CCUGUUGUUCAGCCAACAGUAGCCUAGGGAUAGUGCAUCACUGGUAACGGUGUUGUGCGAAGCUUCCUGACAAUGUAGCCCCCUGAAAGGGUGAGAUCGGCCCGUGAGGGCUAUCUCAGAACCUGCAAGCAACAUGCGGGUGAGGCG